AAGAAUUGUGUGACUUAGGUCAUGCCUAUUAAAAAAUAAUAAGAAAUUUUAUCAUUUCAUGGCAUGUCUGCUAUAAAAUUUAUCAAUAUUUUGCAAUUUUGCAGAAUUCAGAAAUUAUUAAUUACCCAGUCAAAUUAACAAAGAAAAAAGGAAAAAAGAAAAAAAAAAAAUAUAUAUAUAUAUAUAUAUAGUCAUCACAAGUCGUCCCACAUCGAAAUCCAACAGAACACCUCCUCCAAGUUUAGUGCUAUAAGUAAUGAAGAAGUGGGAACGUGACAAAUUGCCUUAAACUAAUGAGUAAGGAAAACAAAGCGAGCGGUGAGAGCUGCUCGCCGCGCCCAAACACUUAGUGCGCACGAAUUUUUGAAGGGGUUAUAGGCUGGCCGAGUGUUGACGCUGCUUACUUUGCAGAACUCUCUCGCGCGGGCCUCCCAACCUCACACCCCCCAAUCGACAGUUUUAAUACUUUCUCUCACUCUACAUGGUUCUAUACAAAUAUAUAUAUAUGGAAAGCAGAAAAGGGAUGAUGAGAAGCACAUGGCAUCUUCACAAUUCUAGCUUCUUCAAUCUUUGAGCUGGUUCUAUAGAUUUGAGGUUCUACCUGAAACAAGUUUUUGUAUUAAUAACCUCUGUUUCUGAAAUUCUUAUUAAUGACUCUUUUUCAGAUUGAUUA